UUUUCUUGCCUUUUCUGGGCCGCACCCACGGCACAUAGAGGUUCCCAGGCUAGGGGUCUAAUUGGAGCUGUAGCCACCGGCCAUACUAGAGCCACAGCAACGCAGGAUCCAGGCCGCGCCUGUGACCUACACCACAGCUCACGGCAACGCCGGAUCCUUAACCCACUGAGCAAGGCCAGGGAUCAACCUCAUGGGUCCUAGUCGGAUUCCUUAACCACUGCGCCACACGGGAACUCCUAGAUUGUCUUUUAACUGGGGAUUUCAACAUCUCUUGAAAGGGAGCAAGGAUGUUUAAAAGAAGAAAAUGGCAAGAAUGAACAUGAACAUAUCUGCAGGCUAAGCAUAAGCUCUACUAUGAUGCCACUUAAUAAAUGAUUGCUGAGUAAAUAAAUGACUGCAUUUUAAAUAAAUGAAUGUCACGGAAAAAAUAAAAAUUAAAAAAGACUCAAAAAAGUGGUUUGAAAAAAGUUACUAAUAAACAAGAUGGAAUGAAAAAUAAAUAAAUAAAGACCCUUAGCCUCUUUGGAGACUCUACUUCCUCAUCUGUAAAAUGGAUACCAUAAUAUCUUUUGGCGGCCUUCACAAAAUUGCCAUGAAGAUCAAGUGGGAUAAAAGACAGUCGUUUAAUACCCUGGAGAAUCGUUCCGCAGUUAACUCAACCCACGGUCCCUGAGCACCAUGCAGCAGGCAUUGCUCCAGGUGCUGGGGACACAGCCACGCACCAAGCAAGCAAAGCCCUUGCUGACGCUCCACCAGGGAGCAAUGGAGAGUAAAACAGGAAACCUAGGAAGGAGGCAAAACCCUCAAGUAUGCCUUAAUGAUAGACACACUUAGAUGACAGGGCUAUGGGCAAAGGGGAAAGUAGAGCGGGGUAACGGGUGACUGGGGUUAGGAUGAGCUGCAAUUUAAAAUCAGGUAUUCACUGUUGGUGAGAAUAUAACCUGGUGUAGCCACUAUGGAGGAGAGUGUGGAGGUUCCUCAAAAACCUAAAAAUAGAGUUGCCAUAUGACCCAGCAAUCCUACUCGUGGGCAAAGAUCCAUACAAAACUGUGACUUGAAAAGAUACAUGCACCCCAAUGUUCAUAGCAGCCCUGUUCACAACAGCCAAGACACAGAAGCAACCUAAAUGUCCAUCAGCAGAUGAAUGGUAAAGAAGAUACACACACACACAAUGGAAUAUUACUCAGCCAUACAACAUGAAAUAAUGCCAUUGGCAACAAGAUGGAUGCAACUAGAGAUUAUCAUACUAAGCGAAGUAAGUCAGAAAGACAAAUACCAUAUGCUAUCACAUAUGUAGUCUCAAUUAUGACACAAAUGAACAUAUCUAUGAAAGAGAAAGAGACCCACAGACACAGAGAACAGACUCAUGGUUGCCAAGGUGGAGGAGGCGUGGGGGAGAGAAGGAUGGGAGUUAAUGUGCGAUUAGCAGAAGUAAACUAUUAAACAAGGUCCAACUGUAGAGCACAGAGAACUACAUUCAAUAUCCUGUGAUAAACCAUAAUGGAAAGCAUGUAUAUGUAUAUGUAGAAUGUAAUUACUUUGUUGUACAGCAGAAAUUAACCUGACACUGUAAAUCAAUUAUACCUCAAAAAUUUUAUUUAUUUUUUGUCUUUUGUCUUUUUAGGGCCACACCUGCGGCGCAGGGAGGUUCCCAGGCUAGGGGUCGAAUCAGAGCUGUAGCCGCUGGCCUACGCCAGAGCCACAGCAACGUGGCAUCCAAGCCACGUCUGCGACCCACACCACAGCUCACAGCAAUGCCAGAUCCUUAACCCACUGAGCGAGGCCAGGGAUCCAACCCAUAACCUCACGGUUCCUAGUCAGAUUUGUUUCCACUGUUCCACAAUGGGAACGCUUACUUCAGUAAAGUUUUAAAAUAAAUAAAUAAAAUAAAAUCAGGUGUUCAGAGUAGACCUCAUUGAAAGGUGACACUGUGUUGACAGUUUAAGGUGAAGGCGUUAGCUCUGCAGGCUCCUGGGUGACAAGUGUGACAGGUGGUAAAGCAGAGCUAUGCCUUCUGUGUCCCAGGCCAGUGGGACUGGUGCCCAAGAGCGAGGGAGUCAGGGGGGAGAGGUGGGAGGGGGGGAGAUGGUUCAGGGCCUGGUACAGAUGUGGACUUUCGCUCUGAGAGAAGCGGGCACCCCAGGCACCCUGGCACCCCUGGCUUCCGCUUAGAGGGCUCCCGCUGGCUACUGAGAUGAGAAGGAAUGUAGGUGGAAAUGGAAGAAGUGGGGCUAGGAGACUCGGCAGCAGGCCAGUCCAGGAAUCCAGCAGGGAGGCCCGAAGGAUUGCCUUCUGUAGACAUUUUGAAGGAAGAGCCAGGGGGAUGAGAGGAGACAGGUGUAUGAGCUGGAGAGGGUCAUUCAGAAUCCACGCGGAGAAAGGGGAACAGGGAGGAGGCAGUGGUCACGCAUGGCAAAUGCUAGGGGACAGGUCAGUCUGGCGAGGGCUGUGACUGCCUG
rnacentral:lncRNA from 1 species